GUUUACUAAGAUAUUUGCACAAGAAACUAGACCAAAAUUACUUGGUAAAAUUUAGUUUUUUGCAGUGUGCAAAGGGGUUUCUGAUGAGAUGAAACUACAUUAACCAGAGGAACCCCAACAUGUGCAAAAUAUCUUUUUCUUUAGGGACUUUAAACAGAUUAGACCACAUAUGGCUGAUAUAACACGUUUUUAUAUUUGUGACAGAUAUGAAUGGCAUUGAAUUAUAACAUUUCUCAGUUCAGCUGGUAAGAUUAGUCGACUGCAACAGGGAAGCUGAUUUCUUCUCUGGUUACUAGCAGAAAAAAAAGGACAAGGAUGCAAACCAAACUUGCCACUUAAUUUUAUAAUUUUUAAUAAGGAAAGUUACGGCAGCGACAGAUAGCAGCUGUUAAUCAUAAUGACUGAUCAGCUGUUAAUCAUAAUGACUGAUCAGCCCUCGGUGUAAUCAUGGAUUUGCAGCAAACACUUUUUACAAGGAUCGUUCCAACAACUGCAGUUAGUUGCCAGAUCUCGAAGAAGCACAGCGGCUCCAGACCAUAACACGACAAAAACCACGUUUGACUUUAGAACGGCAUCAUCAGGAUGUUUCUUGACAAACAUCAGAUGCACCAUUUUGUUCAUUUUGUGCCAGCAGAGGUUUUCACCUUGAAACUGUCUACAGGAUGCAAUUUUUUCCCCAUUUCUUUCUUAUUGCUGAACCACGGGCUUUUAUUGGUGAACCAUGGACUCUGGUUAGUGAGUCCUACAGUGCUUCAGACGUGGAUCUGGGUUCAUCAGUGAACUCCUGGAGGAGUCGUCAGUGUGGUUUUUCUAGAGUCCCAAUGCUUUGAAAUGACUUUAACCUUUUUUAGGUUGAUAGUUGUCAGUGUCUUUGCUUUUAGUUUAUUUUUAAAUCGUUGAUUCUGAGAUUUUUCACCAAUUUUAUGUCAGACAUUUUACUGUAGCCAGUGAAACAAAAGUUAACUUUUUACACAUUUGGUAGCUCAUGCUUAAUUAAUUUUAAGAAAGGGGGGGAAAUUACUUUUUCCACAAUGAUCCAGGUUGACUUAGAAGGUUUUUCCCCUUUUAAUCAUUAAAAUCAUAACUUAAAAACAGCAUUUUGUAUUUGUUUAGGUUAUCUUUGUCUAACACUAAGAUAUGUUUUGGUGAUUUGAAACAUUUCAGUGUAAUAAAAUCAAAAAUAUUUAAAAUCUGUUCAGAGACAAAUAAUCUUUUGCUGUAGCUUGACAACAUUUUGAGAGUUUCCAUUCAGAGUAAAAAUAUGAUUCUAUCUGAUUAAAAUGUUUAACAUUGUGAUGCUUUACCCUUAUAAAUGAGUAAACUUAACAACAGCUUAAAGGCUAUUGGAAUAACAUUUUCCCAAAACUACUGACAGUUUUGAGUUCAGAGUUUUCUACUAAGGUAAGAUUUUCGCUGCUUAUAACUCAACAACUCCCAAAUCCCCGCCCUUUACCUCAUGCAGUUGUUUAAACGUACAACACUUCAGUACCUCUGUCCUAAACAACAUGCCCACGAGGAUGAAACCUACCGACUGCAAACACUUACUACUUUUGUUUGUAUUAUUUAGCAGACAUCUGCAAGGAAGGUGGCUCGGUAUUCUUGGAGCUCAAAGUACUUGGCGGUGAUACAGUAAUUGCUAAAGACGCUGACAGCAAAAUGCAGCUUACAGAGCCAUUAUGGAGCUUUAUUUAUGCUCCAGAGCCAGCAGGCAGGGAACGAGAGCGAGAGAGGAAGAUGGAGAAAUGGAGGGCAGAGUCUCGAGCUAUAAAAACAGCUUUGAAGUCCAGCCGUCUCACCUCAUCUCUGUCAUCCAGGUCCACUGGAAUUGAUAGAGUGCCUCACUCACUUACUCUCACACACACACACACAUUCGGCCCCCUUGUUCCAUUAAAACAUGGGCAGCAGGGGUGAAGUCCAAGACCGAGGCUCUGAGCCAAUUGUACCAAACUGGUGGCAGCAAAAAGUCACAUGAGUGAUUACAGAGAGCUGCAGCAGGACUUUAUGAAGACAUUCAUCACCAAACUGAGGAUGAAACCGUAGGACUCUAAUGGUGGCGUUUAGGCUCCGAACAUCUGUAGUGUUCGUUUCAAUUGCAGUUCUGCUGGAGAUGAAACAGAUUCUCCAGUUGCUUGGCGCGCUCCGAGUGCCCCACAGUCCUCAACGAUUCAACAUCCCUGGACUUUGUCUCUGUGGACCUUCAGUGAAAAUUGUGGCAUUUUAGUCUUGAUUGCACACAUUUCUGGGGCCUGACUUUCUUUAAUUUUUUUUUUUAGAAGUUUGGGUCAAACCUCACAGCAACUCUGCUGCAUAAGAUGAAAAACUUAAUCAUAUUCAUCUGGGGAACGGACAGGCCUGUGUGAACGCUACGAAAAUUUGCUUAUUUUACUGUACCACCGCGAGGACCAGGCCAGGUUCCUCCGUCCCUGACUGUGUCUCAGGCUGUGUGUGGAAAUUGAAACUGGCAUCUCAGAGUGUCUUUUAUAUCCAUGCCAAACGGCUUUGAUGACUUUCCAUGUGUUUUCCUUGCGUGCCUCCAGAGUGGAGCGGUGAAGUGGUUUGAACGUGGUAGUUGCUGCAGAGAAACCCUUGGCCUCUGACCUUCAUGUGAAGUCUGCACCGUGUAAGUGCA